rnacentral:rRNA from 1 species
GCGAACGCUGGCGGCAGGCCUAACACAUGCAAGUCGAACGGAUCCUUCGGGAUUAGUGGCGGACGGGUGAGUAACACGUGGGAACGUGCCUUUUGGUUCGGAACAACUCAGGGAAACUUGAGCUAAUACCGAAUGUGCCCUUCGGGGGAAAGAUUUAUCGCCAUUAGAGCGGCCCGCGUCUGAUUAGCUUGUUGGUGAGGUAAAGGCUCACCAAGGCUACGAUCAGUAGCUGGUCUGAGAGGAUGAUCAGCCACAUUGGGACUGAGACACGGCCCAAACUCCUACGGGAGGCAGCAGUGGGGAAUCUUGCGCAAUGGGCGAAAGCCUGACGCAGCCAUGCCGCGUGAAUGAUGAAGGUCUUAGGAUUGUAAAAUUCUUUCACCGGGGACGAUAAUGACGGUACCCGGAGAAGAAGCCCCGGCUAACUUCGU